GGGCCUUGCCGCGGCUAUACAUGCAGUCGACGAACUCUGGUAUUGAUUGGUGCUUGCAUCAUGAUUUACAUUUGAGUGAGUGGCGAACUGGUGAGUAACACGUGGGAAACCUGCCCAGAAGCGGGGGAUAACACCUGGAAACAGAUGCUAAUACCGCAUAACAACUUGGACCGCAUGGUCCGAGUUUGAAAGAUGGCUUCGGCUAUCACUUUUGGAUGGUCCCGCGGCGUAUUAGCUAGAUGGUGGGGUAACGGCUCACCAUGGCAAUGAUACGUAGCCGACCUGAGAGGGUAAUCGGCCACAUUGGGACUGAGACACGGCCCAAACUCCUACGGGAGGCAGCAGUAGGGAAUCUUCCACAAUGGACGAAAGUCUGAUGGAGCAACGCCGCGUGAGUGAAGAAGGGUUUCGGCUCGUAAAACUCUGUUGUUAAAGAAGAACAUAUCUGAGAGUAACUGUUCAGGUAUUGACGGUAUUUAACCAGAAAGCCACGGCUAACUACGUGCCAGCAGCCGCGGUAAUACGUAGGUGGCAAGCGUUGUCCGGAUUUAUUGGGCGUAAAGCGAGCGCAGGCGGUUUUUUAAGUCUGAUGUGAAAGCCUUCGGCUCAACCGAAGAAGUGCAUCGGAAACUGGGAAACUUGAGUGCAGAAGAGGACAGUGGAACUCCAUGUGUAGCGGUGAAAUGCGUAGAUAUAUGGAAGAACACCAGUGGCGAAGGCGGCUGUCUGGUCUGUAACUGACGCUGAGGCUCGAAAGUAUGGGUAGCAAACAGGAUUAGAUACCCUGGUAGUCCAUACCGUAAACGAUGAAUGCUAAGUGUUGGAGGGUUUCCGCCCUUCAGUGCUGCAGCUAACGCAUUAAGCAUUCCGCCUGGGGAGUACGGCCGCAAGGCUGAAACUCAAAGGAAUUGACGGGGGCCCGCACAAGCGGUGGAGCAUGUGGUUUAAUUCGAAGCUACGCGAAGACCUUACCAGGUCUUGACAUACUAUGCAAAUCUAGGAGAUUAGACGUUCCCUUCGGGGACAUGAUACAGGUGGUGCAUGUUGUCGUCAGCUCGUGUCGUGAGAUGUUAGAUGUUGGGUUAAGUCCCGCAACGAGCGCAACCCUUAUUAUCAGUUGCCAGCAUUAAGUUGGGCACUCUGGUGAGACUGCCGGUGACAAACCGGAGGAAGGUGGGGAUGACGUCAAAUCAUCAUGCCCCUUAUGACCUGGGCUACACACGUGCUACAAUGGAUGGUACAACGAGUUGCGAACUCGCGAGAGUAAGCUAAUCUCUUAAAGCCAUUCUCAGUUCGGAUUGUAGGCUGCAACUCGCCUACAUGAAGUCGGAAUCGCUAGUAAUCGCGGAUCAGCAUGCCGCGGUGAAUACGUUCCCGGGCCUUGUACACACCGCCCGUCACACCAUGAGAGUUUGUAACACCCAAAGUCGGUGGGGUAACCUUUUAGGAACCAGCCGCCUAAGGUGGGACAGAUGAUUAGGGUGAAGUCGAACAAAGAGGCUCGUCCCA
rnacentral:rRNA from 2 species